GACGAACGCUGGCGGUUGUGCCUAAUACAUGCAAGUCGAGCGAGCUUGCCUAGAUGAUUUUAGUGCUUGCACUAAAUGAAACUAGAUACAAGCGAGCGGCGGACGGGUGAGUAACACGUGGGUAACCUGCCCAAGAGACUGGGAUAACACCUGGAAACAGACGCUAAUACCGGAUAACAACACUAGACGCAUGUCUAGAGUUUGAAAGAUGGUUCUGCUAUCACUCUUGGAUGGACCUGCGGUGCAUUAGCUAGUUGGUAAGGUAACGGCUUACCAAGGCAAUGAUGCAUAGCCGAGUUGAGAGACUGAUCGGCCACAUUGGGACUGAGACACGGCCCAAACUCCUACGGGAGGCAGCAGUAGGGAAUCUUCCACAAUGGACGAAAGUCUGAUGGAGCAACGCCGCGUGAGUGAAGAAGGGUUUCGGCUCGUAAAGCUCUGUUGGUAGUGAAGAAAGAUAGAGGUAGUAACUGGCCUUUAUUUGACGGUAAUUACUUAGAAAGUCACGGCUAACUAC
rnacentral:rRNA from 1 species